UGUAGUUUGUUCAUUAUAAUUUAAUUUCUAAAGAUAAGUUUUGUGACUGUAAAGAGACAAAUUCAUAUGUUUAUAAAAUUCUCAUUAAUUGUUUCUGUGAAUUGGCUAACCUACAUAGAUAAAUAAUUGUUGAAAGUCAUGAAUGUGAAGAUUAUUAAAUAUAACCCUCUUGUUUGAUUUUAUGCUUGAAAACAGCUGUCAAUGAGCUAAAAAGGAAAUUACGGUACUUUCAUCAAAUACUUAUGGAGCAGAGUGCCAUAAAUGUCUCUUAGAAUAGUGACCAUAUUAAGAUGAGGAAAUUCAAUCAUAGAUACAAGGAGUAAAUUGUCCAGGGUCUUAACAGCUGGCUAAUUGUAAGGCUGGAGGUACCAGGGGAAGGGGUGAGCCUACUGGACAAGCUCAGACCUCACAAACAAGGCGAAGAGACCAACAGUUUCCGGUCUGACAACAUUCCAGGGUCUGAUGCAACAACAUUCCAGGAGUUCCUAACUAGAGCCCUCCCCCAAGCUAGAAGAGUAAUGGUAACUUUCCAGUACCCGUCUAAAGGCCAAUGAGAG